GCGAUCGGGAGGAAGUUUUCGGAUGGAAUCCGGAUUGACUGAGUGGCGGACGGGUGAGUAACGCGUGGGUAACCUGCCUCAUACAGGGGGAUAACAGUUAGAAAUGACUGCUAAUACCGCAUAAGCGCACAGGGACACAUGUUCCGGUGUGAAAAACUCCGGUGGUAUGAGAUGGACCCGCGUCUGAUUAGCUGGUUGGCGGGGUAACGGCCCACCAAGGCGACGAUCAGUAGCCGACCUGAGAGGGUGACCGGCCACAUUGGGACUGAGACACGGCCCAAACUCCUACGGGAGGCAGCAGUGGGGAAUAUUGCACAAUGGGGGAAACCCUGAUGCAGCAACGCCGCGUGAGUGAAGAAGUAUUUCGGUAUGUAAAGCUCUAUCAGCAGGGAAGAAGAUGACGGUACCUGAGUAAGAAGCCCCGGCUAACUACGUGCCAGCAGCCGCGGUAAUACGUAGGGGGCAAGCGUUAUCCGGAUUUACUGGGUGUAAAGGGAGCGUAGACGGUGAGACAAGUCUGAAGUGAAAGCCCGGGGGUCAACCCCGGGACUGCUUUGGAAACUGCCUGACUGGAGUGCUGGAGAGGCAAGCGGAAUUCCUAGUGUAGCGGUGAAAUGCGUAGAUAUUAGGAAGAACACCAGUGGCGAAGGCGGCUUGCUGGACAGUAACUGACGUUGAGGCUCGAAAGCGUGGGGAGCAAACAGGAUUAGAUACCCUGGUAG
rnacentral:rRNA from 1 species